UGGAGCAGCCCUGCACCCCCCAGAAUGUGACUCGCCGCUUGAUUUAAUGUUAUUCCCUUCCACUUCUCGCCUGAGCAUCCUGCGCCGCCUCUAACCUCGCUGAGCCUUCCCAGCUGGAGAGGGAGAGAGAGAGACGGGAAAAACUGCCCCCAGAGAGGAUGGCUUGCAGAAGACGCUAUUUCGUCGAGGACGAGG